CAGCCGCCACGGUAAUACGAAGGGUGCAAGCGUUAAUCGGAAUUACUGGGCGUAAAGCGUGCGUAGGCGGUGAGUUAAGUCUGCUGUGAAAUCCCCGGGCUCAACCUGGGAAUGGCAGUGGAUACUGGCUCGCUAGAGUGUGUCAGAGGAUGGUGGAAUUCCCGGUGUAGCGGUGAAAUGCGUAGAGAUCGGAAGGAACAUCUGUGGCGAAGGCGACUAUCUGGGCCAACACUGACACUGAGACACGAAAGCGUGGGGAGCAAACAGGAUUAGAUACCCCCGUAGUCCCUGUCUCUUAUAC
rnacentral:rRNA from 1 species